rnacentral:rRNA from 1 species
GACGAACGCUGGCGGCGGGCUUAACACAUGCAAGUCGAACGAAGUGGCGAACGGGUGAGUAAUACGUGGGUACCCUGCCCUCCUUUUUGGGAUAAGCCUUGGAAACGGGGUCUAAUACCGAAUAAAGGGGGAUGGGCUCGCGGCCUAUCAGCUUGUUGGGGGGGGGAUGGCCUACCAAGGCGGUGACGGGUAGCCUGCCUGAGCGGGUGACCGGGCACAUGGGGACGGAGAUAAGGCCAAGACUCCGAAGGGAGGAAGAAGUGGGGGAUAUGGCACAAUGGGUGAAAGACUGAUGCAGCGACGGCGCGUGGGGGAUGAAGGCUGUAGGGUUGUAAACCUCUGUCGCAAGCGAACGGGUAGGUGGAGAAGAAGCGCCGGCUAACUACGUGCCAGCAGCCGCGGUAAUAC